ACAUAUAUACUUAGGAUGUUGAAAAAUGGAACAAUUCUCAAAGCAAAGUCAUCUUCCUAUUUUCAUAUCCUUAGUACUUAGAGUUUUUGAUAAAUGUUUUAAAAGAAAGCACAUAGUUCAUCCUUACUCCUCUAAUAGUACUCUCAAGUCACCCAGUAAGUAUAGGAUUCCUCGCCAAGGCAUAGCAUAAGAUUGCCUUCUUUUGUUUCAUCGUACAUCUAUUAGGCUUAUGGGGCUCAGGUAGGGAGAAACAAGAUAGCAUAUUUGCAUUGUAUCUAUUGUAAAGUCAAAACAUGUAUCCAAGGAGAAGAAUGUCAUAAUCCUAGAUCAAGAUGUGUAAGUGUAUGAAAAAUGAUUAGAAUAGAAUGCUCCUAUAUUUGAUAAGAUCUCUCUCUCUAUUUUAUUUGAAAUAUGGCUAGAUUUUUUUUCUUCUUUUUUUCAAAAGCAAUGGACCUUCAUGUGCCCACUUUUUUUUACUAAGCAUAGCCUUUGUGUCUCAUCUUAUAACCAAUACUUAGAGAGAGAUAUUCUAAAAAAACAUGGAGCAUCUAUAUGGUGGAAAUGGAUGGCAUGUUUUUGCGUACUUCCAAUGUAGAAGCAGCAUAUAUAUGUGGUGUGCGUGUGAUCUUGAUCUUGGGACUAUGACAUAAUUCUCAACUAGGGUCACAAGGUUUGACUAAACUCAACACAAGUACAAGUAGCAUAUAUAGAAGGGUUUUGAACAAGGUAUGAACAUAUAUGGCUGUGGUAGGAAUUCUCUUACUAUUGAGGAGUAAGUGACACUAUGGUUUUAUGAUAUUUUCAAAAAUAAAUCUCAAAGCACUUUGAAUAGAAAGGGUAUGAAUAAUGAGCUAAGAACUACUCCCUCCAUCUGUAUUUAACUUCACCUCUGAUGUUCAAAAAAAUCUCCAAAUAAAAGGUCUCGAUGGCAUCCGAAGCUACCAGAUCAGGACUGUACUACACGCAUGGAUAUAAUAAAAAAUGCAAACCUGCCGGAGUCUCCUGUCCACACGUUUCAAUCGAGCAGAGGAAAAAAAGGAAUCGAAAAAUAAUUCCCAUCGAGGGAGCCCAUCCACACCUGCGAGCCUCGCGAGACGUGAGCACUCCUCCGAGCCUGACACCUG
rnacentral:lncRNA from 1 species